CAGUAGCCGCGGUAAUACGGAGGGUGCAAGCGUUAAUCGGAAUUACUGGGCGUAAAGCGCACGCAGGCGGUUUGUUAAGUCAGAUGUGAAAUCCCCGAGCUUAACUUGGGAACUGCAUUUGAAACUGGCAAGCUAGAGUCUUGUAGAGGGGGGUAGAAUUCCAGGUGUAGCGGUGAAAUGCGUAGAGAUCUGGAGGAAUACCGGUGGCGAAGGCGGCCCCCUGGACAAAGACUGACGCUCAGGUGCGAAAGCGUGGGGAGCAAACAGGAUUAGAUACCCGGGUAGUCCCUGUCUCUUAUAC
rnacentral:rRNA from 1 species